UACGAGGGGGGCGAGCGUUGUUCGGAAUUACUGGGCGUAAAGGGUGUGUAGGCGGUUCGUUAAGUCUGUCGUGAAAUCCCCGGGCUCAACCUGGGAAUGGCGAUGGAUACUGGCGAGCUAGAGUGUGUCAGAGGACGGUGGAAUUCCCGGUGUAGCGGUGAAAUGCGUAGAGAUCGGGAGGAACAUCAGUGGCGAAGGCGGCCAUCUGGGACAACACUGACGCUGAAGCACGAAAGCGUGGGGAGCAAACAGG
rnacentral:rRNA from 1 species